UACAGAGGGGGCAAGCGUUGUUCGGAAUUACUGGGCGUAAAGGGCGCGUAGGCGGCCUGCUAAGUCGAACGUGAAAUCCCCGGGCUCAACCCGGGAACUGCGUCCGAUACUGGUUGGCUUGAAUCCGGGAGAGGGAUGCGGAAUUCCAGGUGUAGCGGUGAAAUGCGCAGAUAUCAGGAGGAACACCAAUUGCGAAGGCAGCUCGCUGGGACGUUACUGACGCUGAGACGCGAAAGCGUGGGGAGCAAACAGG
rnacentral:rRNA from 1 species